rnacentral:rRNA from 1 species
GACGAACGCAGGCGGCGUGCUUAACACAUGCAAGUCGAACGAAGUGGCGAACGGGUGAGUAACGAGUAAUCAACCUGCCCUUCAGAGGGGGACAACAGUUGGAAACGACUGCUAAUACCGCAUAAUGAAGGAGGGGAUUGCGUCUGAUGAGCUAGUUGGAGGGGUAACAGCCCACCAAGGCGAUGAUCAGUAGCCGGUCUGAGAGGAUGAACGGCCACAUUGGGACUGAGACACGGCCCAGACUCCUACGGGAGGCAGCAGUGGGGAAUCUUCCGCAAUGGAUGAAAGUCUGACGGAGCAACGCCGCGUGAGUGAUGACGGCCUUCGGGUUGUAAAGCUCUGUUAAUCGGGACGCGGUACCGGAAUAGAAAGCCACGGCUAACUACGUGCCAGCAGCCGCGGUAAUAC